rnacentral:rRNA from 1 species
UUUAAUUCGAUGCAACGCGAAAAACCUUACCUGGUCUUGACAUCCACGGAAUUGUGCAGAGAUGCGCAAGUGCCUUCGGGAACCGUGAGACAGGUGCUGCAUGGCUGUCGUCAGCUCGUGUUGUGAAAUGUUGGGUUAAGUCCCGCAACGAGCGCAACCCUUGUCCUUUGUUGCCAGCGCGUAGAGGCGGGAACUCAAAGGAGACUGCCGGUGAUAAACCGGAGGAAGGUGGGGACGACGUCAAGUCAUCAUGGCCCUUACGAGUAGGGCUACACACGUGCUACAAUGGCGUAUACAAAGGGAUGCGAACCUGCGAGGGAAAGCGGAACUCAGAAAGUACGUCGUAGUCCGGAUUGGAGUCUGCAACUCGACUCCAUGAAGUCGGAAUCGCUAGUAAUCGUAGAUCAGAAUGCUA